GGGGAUAUAGCUCAGUGGUAGAGUGUGUGUCUAGCAUGCUUGAGUUCCUGGGUUUAAUCCCCAGUAUCACCA
rnacentral:tRNA from 1 species